rnacentral:rRNA from 1 species
CAGUCGCCACGGGAAUACGUAGGGUGCAAGCGUUAUCCGGAAUUAUUGGGCGUAAAGAGCUCGUAGGCGGUUUGUCGCGUCUGCUGUGAAAACUGGAGGCUCAACCUCCAGCCUGCAGUGGGUACGGGCAGACUAGAGUGCGGUAGGGGAGAUUGGAAUUCCUGGUGUAGCGGUGGAAUGCGCAGAUAUCAGGAGGAACACCGAUGGCGAAGGCAGAUCUCUGGGCCGUAACUGACGCUGAGGAGCGAAAGCAUGGGGAGCGAACAGGAUUAGAGCCCCAGUAGUCCCUGUCUCUUAUACA